AGUUUAUUCCUUUCUCUCUUUCCCAGCCAUGGCCUCUCAGCCACCAGUCACCUCUUCCCCCAACCCCCUGACCUCCCACUUCUCUUCUCAAUUCAACUGCUCUUCAGGAUUUCUGGUUGCACUACCUCUGGAGACAAGACUCUAGCAUUUGUUCUUGUAAGUUAAUCUUUUCUUAGUCCCUUUGCCUUGUUCUCCUUUCUUUGCUUCCCCUACUCACCAGGGAAGUUUCCACUUCACUCCCUACCCUCCUAUGUGCUCCUUCUUUGCCUCCUUGAUAUCCAGCUCGAAGCCCAUAUUCUCCAGAAAGAGAAAAUUUUUUUGGGAGACCGAGAUCUUCCUCUUCCCUGAGUCCCCUACCAAUGAUUCUCUCCCUCUUGUGGGUUUCUGCAGGGCUAGCAGUGCAUCCAUCAAACCAUUAGGGCCUCCAUGUGGAGAGGCCAGUUGGCUCCCUUUUUAGGAAGCUCUGCCCUUCCCUUCCAGCAGACCCAGAGUGGAAAGGGCCCAGGGUCCCUGCCUUAAGCUUUGUCAAGGGUGCCAUAUGUCAAGGGUGCCAUAUGAUGUUUUGUCUUGGGCCCAAGGGGCCUCAAACUGUAAGGAAAAACCCUCUCUGAUGGUUUCCUGGCUCAGACUUCUGCAAUUAACAGGACUUCUGCAACUAACCACCUUCUUGUCUGCCCACAUACAUGAUACUGACCUUCUUUUAUUCUCUCCUCUGUACAGAGUUACCUGACCCUCAGGAAGAUUUAGGCUUUUUUUUUUUCUCCCAUCUCACCUUGUAUAAAUAUGUCUUCUCAGUAUAGUAAUGUCAUUGGAUUGAGGAUACUUGUUUGCAGAGGAGGCAAGAAUGCGUUGUUCCGUUUUUGAAUUCCACACAUCUAAUAUGGAGCCUGAGCCACAGGGCUCAAAAUGUUAAGUAAACAAAUGAAUGGGAAAUUAAUAAGAAGAAUGCAUUGGCAAGACCGUGAAGAAGGCCUGCCAUGGGAAGCUUUGGGAAGAAGCCAGCUGCCAUGUUGUGAGAACUCUCAAGCAGCUGUGUGGAGAGAUCCAUGUGGUGAGGAACUGAAGCCUCCUACCCACCAUCAAGUCAGUGGCUCACUACUGUUGCAGUGAAUUCUCCAGCCCAUGAAGACUUUAGAUGAUUUACCCAACAUCUUGAUUAUAGCCUCAUGGAUUCCCUGAGCCAGAACAACCCAGCUAAGCCUCUCCUGAAUUCCUUACCUACAGAAACUGUGAGAUAAUAAAUAUUUAUUCUUUUAAGCCAUCAAA